rnacentral:rRNA from 1 species
UACGUAGGGUGCAAGCGUUAUUCGGAAUCACUGGGCUUAAAGGGUGCGUAGGCUGCGCGGAAAGUUGGGUGUGAAAUCCCUCGGCUCAACCGAGGAACUGCGCCCAAAACUGCCGUGCUCGAGGGAGACAGAGGUGAGCGGAACUUAGGGUGGAGCGGUGAAAUGCGUUGAUAUCCUAAGGAACACCGGUGGCGAAAGCGGCUCACUGGGUCUCUUCUGACGCUGAGGCACGAAAGCUAGGGUAGCGAACGGG